rnacentral:pre_miRNA from 13 species
GGCGCCAAGUUUCGAGCGGCUUUCAACAACGAUAUCAACCGAUUUUCAGUAAAUUGCGAGUUGAUAUGUUGUUUGAAUGCCCCUUGAGUUGGUUGCCC